AUUGAACGCUGGCGGCGUGCCUAACACAUGCAAGUCGAGCGGCAGCGCGGGAGCAAUCCUGGCGGCGAGCGGCGAACGGGUGAGUAAUGCUUCGGAAUCUGCCCAUGUAGUGGGGAAUAACCAGCCGAAAGGUUGACUAAUACCGCAUACGACCCUUUUCCGGAAGGAAAUGGGUGAAAGCAGGGGAUCGCAAGACCUUGCGCUAUUGGAUGAGCCGAAGUCGGAUAGCUUGUUGGUAGGGUAACGGCCUACCAAGGCGACGAUCCGUAGCUGGUCUGAGAGGACGACCAGCCACACUGGGACUGAGACACGGCCCAGACUCCUACGGGAGGCAGCAGUGGGGAAUAUUGGACAAUGGGGCAACCCUGAUCCAGCGACGCCGCGUGUGUGAAGAAGGCCU
rnacentral:rRNA from 1 species